CUGACUUAUCGUCCACGCCGCUGCCAACCAGUCAGGCAUUCAUUCAGCCAGUGGAUGACCUGCGAGGUGUGCCGUGGCCUGCGUCUCAUCAUUCUCCGCUGGUGGUCCAACCAGAUGAUGACACGUUCCCGCCACCACCUCCGCCAGUGUCAUACCACGACAUGGUCAGUGCGGCAGAGCAGAGAUUGCCGUGUCAGGUGCCAGGCCCACAUCAUCCACCUCAACAGCCUGUGACUGUGCUGACUGACCAUAUGCGGAGUACGCAUAUCGGUCCAGGGUACAGCCCAUCUGCUCACGCACCGCCAUUUGAAGUGCCAAAGCAGCAGGUUGAGGUGUCAUUCAUUCACGCACCGCUGGAAGAGCCACCUGACCGCCAGGGAGGCGUCAGGGCGAAUCAGAGCCCAGCCGUGCAUCCCACCACUGUCCUGCUUGGGUGUGACUCCCCCGUCAAGGCAGUCGAGCCCACCAAGACAGCACAGCCCUCACCACGGAAGCCAGAGCAGCCACCGAAGUACUGUCCGUUCUGCCACAGCAUCCAGCACUACUUCAACCAGUGCACAGCCUUCAGAGUGCUGUCAAAGGAUCAGAAGGUCAGCUGGAUCCAGACAGGGAAACGGUGCUGGAGGUGUGGGAGAGAUCAUCCAACAGUGCAGUGCUACCUCAAGGCCAGAUGUCAGACAUGCAAUCUGACGCAUCUGGAAGUGCUGCACGAGUUGAACAUCAGACCGGAGAAGCCAGCCCCCGCCAUUCAUCAGCCAGUGACAUACUACCUUGAUCCUGCCAGGAGGGGUAGUAGUGUGCUGCUGAAGCUGGUGAAGGUGUGCCUGUACAAUGGCAACAGGAAGAUGGAGACGUACGCCAUCUUGGACGACGGUUCCGAGCGCACAAUGCUGCUUCACAGUGCAGCUCAGCAGCUGGGCCUUCAAGGACGGAAGGAGGAUCUGGCACUCCGGACUAUCCGUCAGGACGGCAAGUCUGUGCCAGGGAGGUCAGUUUCCUUUUCCGUGGCAUCAGCCAGUCACCCUCAGAAGCGGUUCAGGAUAGAGCAAGCUUUCACCUCAGCAAAGCUUAGCUUAUCCACCCACUCAUACCCGCUCAAAGCCCUGCAGAAGGCAUAUCAUCACCUCAGAGGCCUGCCCCUGCAGUCAUUUAGUCAGGCCCAACCGCUACUCCUCAUCGGGUCUGACUACCCCCAUCUCAUCACCCCA
rnacentral:lncRNA from 1 species